rnacentral:rRNA from 1 species
UAGGGAAUCUUCGGCAAUGGACGAAAGUCUGACCGAGCAACGCCGCGUGAGUGAAGAAGGUUUUCGGAUCGUAAAACUCUGUUGUUAGAGAAGAACAAGGACGUUAGUAACUGAACGUCCCCUGACGGUAUCUAACCAGAAAGCCACGGCUAAUUACGUGCCAGCAGCCGCGGUAAUACGUAGGUGGCAAGCGUUGUCCGGAUUUAUUGGGCGUAAAGCGAGCGCAGGCGGUUUCUUAAGUCUGAUGUGAAAGCCCCCGGCUCAACCGGGGAGGGUCAUUGGAAACUGGGAGACUUGAGUGCAGAAGAGGAGAGUGGAAUUCCAUGUGUAGCGGUGAAAUGCGUAGAUAUAUGGAGGAACACCAGUGGCGAAGGCGGCUCUCUGGUCUGUAACUGACGCUGAGGCUAGAAAGCGUGGGGAGCAAACAGG